rnacentral:rRNA from 1 species
UACAGAGGUCUCAAGCGUUGUUCGGAUUCAUUGGGCGUAAAGGGUGCGUAGGCGGCGCGGUAAGUCGGGUGUGAAAUCUUGGAGCUUAACUCCGAAACUGCAUUCGAUACUGCCGUGCUUGAGGACUGGAGAGGAGACUGGAAUUUACGGUGUAGCGGUGAAAUGCGUAGAUAUCGUAAGGAAGACCAGUGGCGAAGGCGACUUCCUGGCCUGUUCUUGACGCUGAGGCGCGAAAGCUAGGGGAGCAAACGGG